CUCGUACCUUUUGCAUCAUGGUCUAGCUAGUCUAACCAAGCAAAAUGAUCUUCAGUUUGACCCCCCGAAACUAGGUGAGCUACUUCAGAACAGCCCCCGGGCUAACCCGUCUCUGUUGCAAAAGAGUGGGAUGAUUUUAAAGUAGAGGUGAUAAGCCUACCGAACUUAGAGAUAGCUGGUUACUUAAGAAAAGAAUAUUAGUUCUUCCCUAAGUCUUAUUUUAAACAAAAAAUUCGCCUAGACUUAGGUAUUAUUCAAAUAAGGCACAGCUUAUUUGAGUUAGGACACAACCUCAAACACAGGGUAAUACGAAAUAAUAAAUUUAGCAAGUGGGCCCAAGAGCAGCCAUCUUUAAAAAAGCGUCAAAGCUUAGCUCAAUCAACUUCCUUAAUGUCUUCAUUAUUAACUAACCCUUCACCACUAUUAAGUAACUCCAUACCCCCUAUGGAAGCUAUAAUGCUAGAACUAGUAACAAGAAAAAGAUUUUCUCCAAAAUGUAAGCUUAAGCCAUAAUAGACAAUCUACUGGCAAUCAACGUAAAUGAACCUAAUAUAAUAACUUUCCUCAAGAAAACCUUAUAAUUCUUAGCGUUAACCUUACACCAGAACAUCUGUGGAAAGAUUAAAAAAGAGGGAAGGAACUCGGCAAAUUUUGAUCCCGCCUGUUUAC
rnacentral:rRNA from 1 species